UACGUAGGUGGCGAGCGUUAUCCGGAAUCAUUGGGCGUAAAGAGGGAGCAGGCGGCAGCAAGGGUCUGCGGUGAAAGACCGAAGCUAAACUUCGGUAAGCCGUGGAAACCGGGCAGCUAGAGAGCAUCAGAGGAUCGCGGAAUUCCAUGUGUAGCGGUGAAAUGCGUAGAUAUCAGGAGGAACACCAGUGGCGAAGGCGGCUUACUGGACUGUAACUGACGUUGAGGCUCGAAAGCGUGGGGAGCAAACAGG
rnacentral:rRNA from 1 species